rnacentral:misc_RNA from 1 species
AAUGUCGUAACAAGGUUUCCGUAGGUGAACCUGCGGAAGGAUCAUUAAAGAGUAAGGGUUAAUAGCCCGACCUCCAACCCUUUGUUGUUAUAACUACCUCGUUGCUUUGGCGGGACCGCUCGGUCUCGAGCUGCUGGUCUUCGGCCCGGCAAGUGCCCGCCAGAGUCUACUCAAAGCUCUUGGUUUUGAAACCGGGUUCGUCUGGAGUUAAACUUUUCAAUUUAAACUUAAAAAC